GUGAGCUUGAUGAUUGCGCUACUGGGGGAUCGGAAUAACGUAAAUAGAGCUCACUAGUUGCGAAUAAGCAUACUUCGUCUGUGCGGAAACAAAUAAAACCGAUAUGCCGAGGAAAUCAGAUACUGGCUAGGAAUCGAGCUUUGAUGCUCAAAAAAAGUCGUUUCUGUCAAUUAUACAUAUCGAUCAUCUCAAUUCCUUGAAAUCGGUCGGUAGGUCUUUCCUCUAGUUAAAGAGUU
rnacentral:misc_RNA from 1 species